rnacentral:rRNA from 2 species
GAAUUGACGGGGGCCCGCACAAGCGGUGGAGCAUGUGGUUUAAUUCGAUGCAACGCGAAGAACCUUACCUGGUCUUGACAUCCACGGAAGUUUUCAGAGAUGAGAAUGUGCCUUCGGGAACCGUGAGACAGGUGCUGCAUGGCUGUCGUCAGCUCGUGUUGUGAAAUGUUGGGUUAAGUCCCGCAACGAGCGCAACCCUUAUCCUUUGUUGCCAGCGGUCCGGCCGGGAACUCAAAGGAGACUGCCAGUGAUAAACUGGAGGAAGGUGGGGAUGACGUCAAGUCAUCAUGGCCCUUACGACCAGGGCUACACACGUGCUACAAUGGCGCAUACAAAGAGAAGCGACCUCGCGAGAGCAAGCGGACCUCAUAAAGUGCGUCGUAGUCCGGAUUGGAGUCUGCAACUCGACUCCAUGAAGUCGGAAUCGCUAGUAAUCGUGGAUCAGAAUGCCACGGUGAAUACGUUCCCGGGCCUUGUACACACCGCCCGUCACACCAUGGGAGUGGGUUGCAAAAGAAGUAGGUA